rnacentral:rRNA from 1 species
AGAGUUUGAUCCUGGCUCAGAACGAACGUUGGCGGCGUGGAUUAGGCAUGCAAGUCGAGCGGGAUUCCAUUUUUUCAAUUCUUCGGAAGAGAAGUUAUGGAUGAGAGCGGCGAACGGGUGAGUAAUAUAUGGGUAAUUUGCCUCUUUGUUCGGGAUAGCCAUCGGAAACGAUGAUUAAUACCGGAUGUGUUCGGGUGCUGCAUAGCACCUUAUAUAAAGGCGGGGAUUCUUCGGAACCUGUCGCGAAGAGAUAAGCCCAUAUCCUAUCAGCUUGUUGGUGAGGUAAUGGCUCACCAAGGCUUACGGGUAGCUGGUCUGAGAGGAUGGUCAGCCACACUGGAACUGAGACACGGUCCAGACUCCUACGGGAGGCUGCAGUCGAGAAUCAUUGUCAAUGCACGGAAGUGUGAACAUGCGACGCCGCGUGGAGGAAGACGGCCUUUGGGUUGUAAACUCCUGUCAGCAGGGAGGAAUUACGGAAUUCUUAAUACGAAUUCCGUUUGACAGUACCUGCAGAGGAAGUCACGGCUAACUCUGUGCCAGCAGCCGCGGUAAUACAGAGGUGGCGAACGUUGUUCGGAUUUACUGGGCGUAAAGGGACCGCAGGCGGUCUUGUGUGUCGGAUGUGAAAGCUCACGGCUCAACCGUGGAAUUGCAUUCGAAACUGCAAGACUAGAGUACUGGAGGGGAGAAGGGAACACUUGGUGUAGCGGUGAAAUGCGUAGAUAUCAAGUGGAACACCGGCGGCGAAGGCGCUUCUCUGGACAGAUACUGACGCUCAUGGACGAAAGUUAGGGUAGCGAAAGGGAUUAGAUACCCCUGUAGUCCUAACCGUAAACGGUGUGCGCUAGGCGUGGGUGGCUUUACCCCCAUCCGUGCCUGAGCUAACGCAUUAAGCGCACCGCCUGGGGAGUACGGUCGCAAGAUUAAAACUCAAAGGAAUUGACGGGGACCCGCACAAGCGGUGGAGCAUGUGGCUUAAUUCGAUGCAACGCGAAGAACCUUACCUGGGCUUGACAUAUAGCUGCAUCCGACCUGAAAGGGACGGAGCCUUCGAGGGUGCUAUACAGGUGCUGCAUGGCUGUCGUCAGCUCGUGCCGUGAGGUGUUGGGUUAAGUCCCGCAACGAGCGCAACCCCUGUGUUUAGUUGCCAGCACGUAAUGGUGGGAACUCUAAACAGACUGCUUGUGAAAACAAGAGGAAGGUGGGGAUGACGUCAAGUCAGUAU